GGCUGACCCUGACUUUUACCUUAUAUUUGUAUUGGUAUUAUUUGGGUCUCAAAACAAAAGAAAGAAAAUCAAGAAUCUUCUAAAAUUUUGGUAAAUGACCUUUCAUGAGCUAUAAAAUCUUAUAUGAAAAAAUAAAUGAGUGUUAUGGGGCAAAAUAUUUUACAUUGUAUUGUAUGGAAAAAUACCAAGGAGUCCGAACGUUUGACACA
rnacentral:lncRNA from 1 species